UGAAUUUACAUUUUUUCUAUACAUCUAUUUUGGUGUCUGUCGAUCAACUCUUUUUAACUUUUUUAUUAAAUAAUUUUAGACCUACAGAUUUUCUAUAAACACUUAUUCUAGCUUUACUCAUGUUAAAAUUAAUCACAGUAUGAAUAUUAAUACAUCCCGGGAGGCAGAGACAGCAGUGAGCCAAGAUCGUGCCAUUGCACUCCAGCCUGGCGGUGGAGGGAGACUCCGUCUCAAAGAAAAGAAAAAAAAGAAAAGAGAUGAUGGAUCUAUGCUGACUUGCCAGAUAUUUGGCUUAAGAAUCUCAAAAUCUGCAAAACGGCUCAGCUCUUGGACAUCACUAAGAAGAAGGAGAAGUCAGUACACUUCCUUUAACCUAUUCUCCUUGAGAGAUGUGUGUGUGUGUUUGUGCAUCCAUGUGUGAGUGUGUGUAUGUGCCUGUGUGUCUGGUACAUGUCUCUGUGAUUGUGCACCUACUGGUUCUUCUAUAUUUUUUACAAAACUAGAGAUUGUAUUUUAUAACUAACCAAUCCACAGACAAUGGGUGACAGUUUAUCACAUAGGAAGUUCGAUUUUCAGAAUCACAAUUUGAAAUUUGAAAGGAUUCAAAUUAUACCAAAGUAGCAUAAAAAUAUUUUUAUCUGAAGACAUUUGAGAUUCAGCAAAUGCAGAAAGAAGCUUUAUUAGAGCUUUUCUUAUACUGAAGGCAGAGACUUCUGAGAAUGAAACCUCCAUAAAUUGCAGGAGGAUUUUCUGCCUGGAAGAAGAAAGGGAACACAGGAAUCUGCAUAAAACAAACAAUAUCGGAAACAUUGUGUCCUAUUUGUUCUGUUAAAAGUUCAUUUGUUCUUCCCAUAGAAACCUUUCUCAUCCUUUGCUUUCGUGUGGCAAAUUAGGUGUAUAAACCCUGGUCUCUAAUUAUUGAGCCAGUUCUUUUGUGUGCCCCCAUAUAUGUAUGAAUAAACUUUGCCUCUUCUCUUAUAAAUCAUUCCUCUGUCAUAGUAU
rnacentral:lncRNA from 1 species